AUCAAGUCGUAAACGGUUAGUAACAGGACAAGCAGGUAAGUAGGAUUCUUGUUAUUUUUCUCAAAAUUAACGAACGCACCGCUUGUCAGGAAAAAACACUAAUUUGGUUAAACUAUUAGCUGUUCGAUUUGAGCAGCUUGGAAUUUUGUCUUGCACUUUCAUGCCAAACGUGCAAUAAAACGGUAGUCAUUGAGAAGUCAGUAUGGGGAUCGGGAAGCAAACAAGCUAGCUAGCUGAGUCUGCUAGCUAAGUUGGCUGUUAUUGGCCGUUAGCUCACUACGUCAACAUUAGCAUGGCUAACAUUAGCUUAUCAUCUAGCGCUGGGAGAAAGUACAGUUAAUUCUGUCACUAUAUCGUUGGCAUUGAAUUAAUUGACACGAUAAGCCAGUAAAGAACCCAACUCAUAAGUUGCUUUUACAUUCCCGAGACCAGUGUUAAUAUUAUUCAACAUGUAAAACUUUUUCAUUAUAAAUGUGCAAUGAUAACGUUCCCGUAGGUUAACAUUAGCCCGGCUAGCGCUAGCUUGCCAGCUGGACGUAAAAAAAGAAUACCCUUCAGAGUCUGUUAAGAACUUGGUUUAGUGGGUGUUGCUCUGACCUGAAAUACGAAUAAACUAAUUUUUGUUUAUGUAUUCUUAUUCUUUUAGGAGUCAUGUUAUUUCCAUGUGCGGAAACUGGAGUUAUGGCUUUAUGGAUUAUUGAAUGGAGCGAACCAACAAUGGAGUUAAAGGAGCACCAUAUGGCGCAUCUUAUCAGGACAACCAAGCAUCCCUGUGGAAGUAUUUCUGACAGCUGGGAAGAGACAUAAAACCUGCUGGAUGGAUCACACAUCGCAGCAAAGUGUGGGAGACUGCUUCUUAUCCCUUGAGGAGGUUUAGGAUGCAGAUUGAGAGGCAGGAAGUGUAAGCAACUUCUUUUAGGCUGUUGACUUUGUGACAUGGAACAUAAUUUGAGCAGAAAAGAACACAUUUAGGAUAACUAUCCAAGUUAUCACAUAUUUAAUUGUGACAUUUGUAGUUUUGCUCCUGAGACUUGUAUGUAGAUAUCAAUUUGAAAUAGUAUUCAGAACAGGCGGAUAUGGACAGUUUCUAAUUUACACAUAGGAUUGGUAAUGACUUGCUUAUUAUUCAUGGUUGUCUGAUAAUACUCAGAGUUCAUGCAAGACCUGUAGAAAACAAGUGGUAUGCAAUAAUUAGCAUUACUUAAGCAAGGAUGCAACAUAGCACUGAGUACAUCUAAUGUGGAUGAUGUCCUUGGAAAAACAUCUAGCGCACAGGAAGUGACAAUUAUAGUAGUUUAUUUAGAGUCAUAGAAGAUCAACCAGAUAAGCGUGAGCAACAGUAAAUUGAAAAAGUAGAGAUAGGCAAGUAACCACAUAAAUGGGAACUUUCUUAACAGAAACAAAUAUAAGAGAUAUCAGUACUGUACACACUUAAACAGCAACAGUUAAUAUAUAUAUAUAUAUAUAUAUAUAUAUACUCUAGGGUAUAACAUAAUAUAUUAUAACAGUAAUAUAUUAUAUUAUAUAAUUUAUAUUAUGUUUUAAAAGCUGGGGCUGGUUUUUGAAACAGCUUUUUUGUAUGAAGUGCAAGCUUCAAAAAUAUUGCAUGUCCGCUUGUGUUUAGGCAUUAUUUAACUUGACCUUCUUUUCAAUAUUAUAAAAGCGGUCUUAAGUAAAAGUGAAAGAUACAAAAAUAAUGCCCAGCCCUAUUUAAUGCUUGUAUGAACAGUUUUUAUAUUUUCAGAUUUAAAAAAUAAAUAUUUUCUGAGUUGGA